AAAUGAGAAAAUGAGAAAACACACUGAAUGGGCUGUUAAGCGCAAGCGAGCUUUCUUGAUUAGAUCCCUGGGUCGGCGGCAUCAUCAUGAGCAGGCCACAUACUGCAGCCAUGAUCGCGUACAUAGCGCCAGCAUCUGGUACAUUUAUUUACCUGCACUUUUUACGACGUACAUUACCGGCAUCGUCUUCCCUCCUGCACCAUGCUUCACCUCAUCUGCUUUGAUCGGCUCUAUUUGGCGAGACGCUUUCUGGAGACAAACUGCUAUGCCGUGAUCCCCUCCUCUGACCCCGCCAGCAGGUCGCAUCAUCACCUUUUUGGUCUUCCGGUUCAUAUAAGCAAGUGUGCGCCUGAUGAUGUCUGUCCAAUUCAGGCGCCUGACCAGCUGACAUCGCGAACUCCCAGCCGGCUCCCGCACACGGUGC